CCUGAUGCAGCGACGCCGCGUGAGGGAUGACGGCCUUCGGGUUGUAAACCUCUUUCAGCAGGGACGAAGCGUAAGUGACGGUACCUGCAGAAGAAGCGCCGGCCAACUACGUGCCAGCAGCCGCGGUAAGACGUAGGGCGCGAGCGUUGUCCGGAUUUAUUGGGCGUAAAGAGCUCGUAGGCGGCUUGUCGCGUCGACCGUGAAAACUUGGGGCUCAACCCCAAGCCUGCGGUCGAUACGGGCAGGCUAGAGUUCGGUAGGGGAGACUGGAAUUCCUGGUGUAGCGGUGAAAUGCGCAGAUAUCAGGAGGAACACCGGUGGCGAAGGCGGGUCUCUGGGCCGAUACUGACGCUGAGGAGCGAAAGCGUGGGGAGCGAACAGGAUUAGAUACCCUGGUAGUCCACGCUGUAAACGUUGGGCGCUAGGUGUGGGGGGCCUCUCCGGUUCCCUGUGCCGCAGCUAACGCAUUAAGCGCCCCGCCUGGGGAGUACGGCCGCAAGGCUAAAACUCAAAGGAAUUGACGGGGGCCCGCACAAGCGGCGGAGCAUGCGGAUUAAUUCGAUGCAACGCGAAGAACCUUACCUGGGUUUGACAUGGCCGCAAAACCUCCAGAGAUGGGGGGUCCUUCGGGGGCG
rnacentral:rRNA from 1 species